AUCACCCUAUUCUGACUUUAGUCAGUGAGUAUUGGUGUGGUUAAGAGCUGAAUAUUUGGUGUCUUGAAGUUCAGAAUCAUGUUCUUCAGCCUUUGGUUUUGAUCGGUUAGGAGUGGCUUCAACUAUAAGUUGUGUACCAUCUGAGUUCAGAAGAUUGUUGAUUUGAAUCGUUACCCGAGGAUAUUGGAAUGGUCAGCCCGAUCAUGCCUUGUCUUUAUUCUGAAUCUGGAAGUGAAG